UAUAUAUAGCCAACUGUGUUUAGAUGGAGCAAAAAUUCUUUCACUCUAGCAAAACUUGCAUAUAACUCAGGUAGGGUCCCGUUUUAAUGAAAACACUUCACCGUCCAGAUUUCAAAGGGGCCAUUUUCAUGUGCCAGAUGUCCUGAAGCAAUUGCCUUUGUUACUUGUGCACAAUCAAUUUUAUUAAGGGAAAAAUUCCAAGUGACAGAUGUCACCAGUGAAUGUCCACAUCGGUUUAAUGAAGACAUGGCUUGGAAAUCUAUCAUUGUAGGGUAACUAUUUAAAAGCAAGGCCUAUACUGUUACCAUUUGACAAGAUGUGAUGUUUUUCAGAUUUGUAGGGACAGGCACUGCCAGGUCCUCAUGAGACAGAGCAUAUACUUUUUCCUUCAUCGAAUCCAAACCUUCCGGAACCUAAGACAGUUCUGAAUGUGUCCCAUCAUUAGCUCGGCCUGCUGGAGCUCCCACACCAGCCCACAGAAACCACCGUAAGUGUCGCGGGUUGGAGAAGGUCCCGGCACUGGUCAACCUCAGAAGGGAGAAGGGGCAGAAGAAGAGGAGGUACAGCUCUUACUGCAGCGUGGGAAUAAACUCACUUCUUACAUCUCAGCUUGAAACAGAAUUUCCUAUGAUAUAGUCGUAAGAAAUGGUAGAUAGACUCUGAUAUUACUGGAGCCAAUUCCAGCAACAAUUUGUGAGAAAUAGCUCUUUUCUUUUCUUUUCUUUUUUAAUGAACUGGUCCGAGGACCUAUCAACCAUGGACAGCAUAAUUUCUCUAAGAAAGCAUCUUCCUAAUUUUCCAAUAA
rnacentral:lncRNA from 1 species